UAAGCACAUGACUUCCCCCAAAGGAUCCUGGGAACUGUCAUUAGUUAUGGGUACUGGGAACUGUGAGGGGUAAACUACAACUUCCAGGAUUCUUUGGGGGAAGCUGAGUGCUU